CAGUCGCCGCGGUAAUACAGAGGGUGCGAGCGUUAAUCGGAUUUACUGGGCGUAAAGCGUGCGUAGGCGGCUUAUUAAGUCGGAUGUGAAAUCCCUGAGCUUAACUUAGGAAUUGCAUUCGAUACUGGGAAGCUAGAGUAUGGGAGAGGAUGGUAGAAUUCCAGGUGUAGCGGUGAAAUGCGUAGAGAUCUGGAGGAAUACCGAUGGCGAAGGCAGCCAUCUGGCCUAAUACUGACGCUGAGGUACGAAAGCAUGGGGAGCAAACAGGAUUAGAUACCCCUGUAGUCCCUGUCUCUUAUAC
rnacentral:rRNA from 1 species